AUUGAACGCUGGCGGCAUGCCUUACACAUGCAAGUCGAACGGCUGCGGGCCUUCGGGUGCCGGCGAGUGGCGAACGGGUGAGUAAUGCAUCGGAACGUGCCAUUGAGUGGGGGAUAACGUAGCGAAAGUUGCGCUAAUACCGCAUAUUCUGUGAGCAGGAAAGCAGGGGACCGCAAGGCCUUGCGCUCUUUGAGCGGCCGAUGUCAGAUUAGCUAGUUGGUGAGGUAAAGGCUUACCAAGGCGACGAUCUGUAGCGGGUCUGAGAGGAUGAUCCGCCACACUGGAACUGAGACACGGUCCAGACUCCUACGGGAGGCAGCAGUGGGGAAUUUUGGACAAUGGGGGCAACCCUGAUCCAGCCAUGCCGCGUGAGUGAAGAAGGCCU
rnacentral:rRNA from 1 species